rnacentral:rRNA from 1 species
AUGCAGGUGUAAGUACGAACUGUCGUAAAGUGAAACUGCGAACGGCUCAUUAAAUCAGUCUUGGUUUAUUUGGUCUCUGAAUACGAAAGUGGAUAACUGUGGCAAUUCCAGAGCUAAUACAUGCGAUUAAGCGCCGACUCCGGGAGGCGCGCUUUUAUUGGUUCAAAACCGACCGGGCCUUCGCGGGCCCGUCUCUUUUGAUGACUCUGGAUAACCACGCGGAUCGCACGGUCUCCGAGCCGGCGACGUACCAUUCAAGUGUCUGACCUAUCAACUUUCGAAGGUAAGCUACGGGCCUACCUUUGUGAUAACGGGUGACGGGGAAUCAGGGUUCGAUUCCGGAGAGGGAGCCUGAGAAACGGCUACCACAUCCAAGGAAGGCAGCAGGCGCGCAAAUUACCCAUUCCCGACACGGGGAGGUAGUGACGAAAAAUAACAAUACGGGACUCUAACGAGGCCCCGUAAUUGGAAUGAGUACAUUCUAAAACUCUUAACGAGUAUCCAUUGGAGGGCAAGUCUGGU